UACCUUUUAUGUUGGAAACAUGGCCAGAUACAGCCAGGACAGGCCAGGAGCCAGUGUGGGUAAUGCAAAGCCCUGCGUUGUCUUAGGGUGCUUGUUGUAGCAUAGCUGCUGCCUCGGAUGCAGUCCUGAUGAAAGCAAUGUUGUGAACAAGCUAGCGAGCACCCAAGCUGGGUAAGAUCAGUGUCAGGAAGAAUCUCAGAGCAGGAAACCACAAUUAGCUGCAUUUUCACAAGGCUUUAAGGUGGAGAAAAGGGGCCUAGAAAUCUUUUGUGGGAAAGAGGUAAACCGUCUCUUGCUGUGUUGCCCUAUGUCUCAGUAGCAUCUCUGCAGGCAGGUGCACUUUUACCUUGGUCAGGCUUGGUAACCACCCUUGGGAGAAAUAUCCAGUGAAGAUCCUGGUUGUGAAGAAUGUGGCAAGUGUCUUUUUAUACCAAUCUUUGUGUUGCUCCUGUGGGAGAGCGCUGUACACCUUCCCCAGUGUAACCUGAGGAAAGGGUGUCCUUAGGAUGAAGCAAAGCAGAAAUCACCACUAGUGGUUGUAAGGGCGCCACAGCUGCAUUUCCAAGGCUGGUGAUGAUCUCAGUGCACAGGCUGGAUUAGCAUAACUACGCUCUACCUUUCUGAUUUUGCUUUGG